UACGAGGGGCGCUAGCGUUGUUCGGAAUUACUGGGCGUAAAGGGCGUGUAGGCGGUACCAUAAGUCAGAUGUGAAAGCCCUAGGCUUAACCUAGGAGGUGCAUUUGAUACUGUGGAACUAGAGAUCGAGAGAGGUAAGUGGAAUUACGAGUGUAGAGGUGAAAUUCGUAGAUAUUCGUAAGAACACCAGUGGCGAAGGCGACUUACUGGCUCGAUACUGACGCUGAGGCACGAAAGCGUGGGGAGCAAACAGG
rnacentral:rRNA from 1 species